AUUGAACGCUGGCGGCAUGCUUUACACAUGCAAGUCGAACGGCAGCACGGGCUUCGGCCUGGUGGCGAGUGGCGAACGGGUGAGUAAUAUAUCGGAACGUACCCAGAAGUGGGGGAUAACGUAGCGAAAGUUACGCUAAUACCGCAUACGAUCUAUGGAUGAAAGCAGGGGACCGCAAGGCCUUGUGCUCCUGGAGCGGCCGAUAUCUGAUUAGCUAGUUGGUGAGGUAAAGGCUCACCAAGGCGACGAUCAGUAGCUGGUCUGAGAGGACGACCAGCCACACUGGAACUGAGACACGGUCCAGACUCCUACGGGAGGCAGCAGUGGGGAAUUUUGGACAAUGGGCGCAAGCCUGAUCCAGCAAUGCCGCGUGAGUGAAGAAGGCCUUCGGGUUGUAAAGCUCUUUUGUCAGGGAAGAAACGGUAGAGGCUAAUACCCUUUGCUAAUGACGGUACCUGAAGAAUAAGCACCGGCUAACUACGUG
rnacentral:rRNA from 1 species